rnacentral:rRNA from 1 species
UACGUAGGGUGCAAGCGUUUGUCCGGAAUUAUUGGGCGUAAAGAGCUUGUAGGCGGUUUGUCGCGUCUGCUGUGAAAUUUCGGGGCUCAACCCCGAACUUGCAGUGGGUACGGGCAGACUAGAGUGUGGUAGGGGAGACUGGAAUUCCUGGUGUAGCGGUGAAAUGCGCAGAUAUCAGGAGGAACACCGAUGGCGAAGGCAGGUCUCUGGGCCACUACUGACGCUGAGAAGCGAAAGCAUGGGGAGCGAACAGG